AUUGAACGCUGGCGGCAGGCCUAACACAUGCAAGUCGAACGAGUGGCGGACGGGUGAGUAAUGUCUGGGAAACUGCCUGAUGGAGGGGGAUAACUACUGGAAACGGUAGCUAAUACCGCAUACUAUCGGAUGUGCCCAGAUGGGUUUAGCUAGUAGGUGGGGUAAAGGCUCACCUAGGCGACGAUCGCUAGCUGGUCUGAGAGGAUGACCAGCCACACUGGAAAUGAGACACGGGCCAGACUCCUACGGGAGGCAGCAGUGGGGAAUAUUGCACAAUGGGCGCAAGCCUGAUGCAGCCAUGCCGCGUGUAUGAAGAAGGCCUUAGGGUUGUAAAGUACUUUCAGCGGGGAGGCGUUACCCGCAGAAGAAGCACCGGCUAACUCCGUGCCAGCAGCCGCGGUAAUUC
rnacentral:rRNA from 1 species